GCUGUCCAAUCUUUGAGAACGUUUAAUCACUGUGAGUUUGGGUUAAUUCGUGGUAGAAUGAAGAACUUGGAUUUGAUCGAGAAAAACUGUCUAUGAUGGAUGAGGAUUAAGAGCCGUGGAUGGCUCGAGGCAAAAGAAGCGCUUGUAUUACGUUAUUUGCGGGACUGGAUGGCAUAUAUCUUGUACAGUUUAGAUUUGAAUUCAUUUUGUGUAAUAGUUGGGCUAGUGUAACUGUUUGGAAUUGAAAUGGAUGUAUGUGUACGUUCCACGCUUAGAAGUAGUUUUCGCUUCGCUUAUGAUAUAUAAAUUUGAGGAACAUUUGAUGUA